rnacentral:lncRNA from 1 species
UUGAUCAACACAUUAUCUUCUAUGGGAGACCCAACAUAUCUUUUGGAAUGAAGAAAGAAACGAACGAAACGAGAGAAGAAAGAAAGGGAAAUCAAAAUCAGAGAGGAGACAGAACAAUAAGUGAUACCCCAUGUGCAAAAACAGAAUAGGACAUAAAGAUCUCAAUGAGAGGAGAGAAACCCUUAUAACGAGAGAAUGCAAGGUCAAACAAGACAUUUCCGGAAGAAAAAGGAAAUCCCUAAGUAAUUAACUAGAAUGAGUGUCUAAACUCUACUAACGUAACUAAUUCUCUUCCUUCUGGUGUCAUUUCUGUUUUGCAAGAUUUCAAGGAUGUGUUUUCCAACAAUAUAGCCCCGAGGUUGCCACCAAUUUAGGGCAUAGAGCACCAAAUUUGACUUUAUGCCUGGUGCAUCCAUUCCCAACAAGGCCGCGUACCGGAAAAAUUGGAAGGGGAUAAAGGAGCUGCAAAAGUUAAUUGGAACAGCUGAUAGACAAGAAAUAUGGUCGAGAGAGAAUGAGUCCUUAUGUCGUACCAGUCAUUCUCGUCCCAAAGAAAGAUGAAACAUGGAGAAUGUGUUUCGACUGCUGAGCUGUCAACAAUAUCACCGUUAAGUAUCGACAUCACAUCCCUCCCUUAGAUGAUAUGCUUGUUGAAUGACAGAAGGCAUCUAUUUUCUCAAAAGUUGAUCUUAAAUAAGGAUAUCACCAGAUUUGAAUGAAGGAAGGAUAUGAAUGGGAAACCACUUUUAAAACUAAAUAUGAAUUAUAUGAAUGGAUAGUGAUGCCAUUUGAUGUAACGACUGCUCCUAGUACUUUGAUGAGAUUAAUGAAUCCUGUUCUUAGAGCCUUUACAAGGACUUUGAUUAUAUCUUAUUCUAUUUGUCUAGUCUAGAAGAUUACGGAAGACACCUUAAAAUGUUAGGAAGGAAUUCUUUUUUGUUAAUAUUAAGAAGUGCACUUUUUGCAUUGAUCACCUAUGUUAUGAGUUCUACAGGAAUAUGAAGGAUAAAGAAAAGAUCGAAGCCAUUAAAUCAUGGCCAGUCCCUACAGGCAUCACCAAAGUCCAAAUCUUCCAUGGAUUUGGGAGUUUCUAUUGAAGAUUUGUCAAGGACUUUAGCACGCGUGUAGUCAAGAAGGACGUUCCCUUCCAUUGGCGGAAAGCACAACAAAAGGCGUUAAAUCUACUCAAGAGAAGCUCAUGCACGCACCAGUCCUAACACUCUCAGUUUCAAAAAUACCUUUGGGAUUAUGUGUGACGCAUCUGGGGUUGGAGUUGGGCUGUCGGAGUCCAAGAAAAGAAGUCGAUUGUUGAUCGACCCCUUAGAGGGCAAUCAAGAAAUCCCAAAAUAUUUUGGGGUCAUAUUUCCUGCGGAUCUACUUGCACUUCACUACUCCGGUUUCAGAUUGCUGGUUAGUCAAAUUAAAGGUUGGGAGUUUGUACAAGACUAGAGGGGUAAUGGAUGGAUCUAGAAAGCUAAAUCAACUGUGAGAAGGCCUUGUUCCGGUAAUGAAAGGUUUUGGAUCCUAAUAGUCGAGUUUGUGAAAUCACUGCCUAGAAUCACCUGCAACACUUCCUAACAUUCAAUCUACAAACAAUCAAUUGAGAAUCCAAACUGAAAACCUAGUCACAGGAAAACUGCAGAAUACUAAUAAUCACAUGAAUUGAACCAGAAGGGUAGCAGGAUAGCAAAAUCAAUUAUAAAUAAUCAUGCAUCUAUAAUCCAACACUACAUACAAGUACAAACCUAAAAUCCUCAAGAAUCCACAAGCCCUAACAAGAAGAAAAGACCUAGCUCUCCAUUGAAGAGGAAGAAAAUGCUACCAAUCUACAAUCCAUCGAAGUAGAAAGAGAUCCUAUGUUGGGCUUAGAUUACCUUGGCAUUGAUUAUCCAUCCCCAUUAUGAUCCUAGGCUCCCAAGCUCAUCUUUCUUUGACAAUAUUGUACUUUAGGUCAUCUCCAAGGCUCUCUCUCCUUCUCAAAAUCUGAGUCGGGUAUUUAUAGAAAAAUGCAGAUCUAGGGAGUUGGCAUGGCGUGAGCCUUUGCUUCACAUUCAGAUUUUAGCACGACACUCCAACACGGCGUGCUGCCUUCAUUUUCAAUUUCCUAUAAUUCUGAUCCGACGGCUACCACAGGAGCAGAUGAUUGUGCACGUCGUGUCUUUCUUGAUUACAACCGCUCCCAAAUUUAAUAUUGUGCUCGUAUCACUCUCGUCCAUUACCAAAAU